AGGCAGCUUACUGGAUUGUAACUGACGCUGAUGCUCGAAAGUGUGGGUAUCAAACAGGAUUAGAUACCCUGGUAGUCCACACAGUAAACGAUGAAUACUCGCUGUUGGCGAUAUACUGUCAGCGGCCAAGCGAAAGCAUUAAGUAUUCCACCUGGGGAGUACGCCGGCAACGGUGAAACUCAAAGGAAUUGACGGGGGCCCGCACAAGCGGAGGAACAUGUGGUUUAAUUCGAUGAUACGCGAGGAACCUUACCCGGGCUUAAAUUGCAACUGACUGAACCGGAAACGGUUCUUUCUUCGGACAGUUGUGAAGGUGCUGCAUGGUUGUCGUCAGCUCGUGCCGUGAGGUGUCGGCUUAAGUGCCAUAACGAGCGCAACCCUUACGGGUAGUUACCAUCAGGUUAUGCUGGGGACUCUACCCGGACUGCCGUCGUAAGAUGUGAGGAAGGUGGGGAUGACGUCAAAUCAGCACGGCCCUUACGUCCGGGGCUACACACGUGUUACAAUGGGGGGUACAGAAGGCAGCUACACGGCGACGUGGUGCUAAUCCCGAAAGCCUCUCUCAGUUCGGAUUGGAGUCUGCAACCCGACUCCAUGAAGCUGGAUUCGCUAGUAAUCGCGCAUCAGCCACGGCGCGGUGAAUACGUUCCCGGGCCUUGUACACACCG
rnacentral:ncRNA from 1 species